UGCCCUACUAUUCGCAUCUCAUC
rnacentral:miRNA from 1 species